rnacentral:rRNA from 1 species
CCUACGGGUGGCAGCAGUGGGGAAUAUUGCACAAUGGGGAAACCCUUAUGCAGCGACGCCGCGUGAGCGAAGAAGUAUUUCGGUAUGUAAAGCUUUGUCAGCAGGGAAGAAAGAAAUGACGGUAUCUGAUCCAGAAGCUCCGGCUAAUUACGGGACAGCAGCAGCGGUAAUACGUAGGGGGCAAGUGUUAACCGGAAUUCCUGGGUGUAAAGGGAGCGUAGACGGUGUUGGAAGUCUGGAGUGAAAGGCGGGGGCCCAAGCCCCGGACUGCUCUGGAAACUGGGUAACUUGAGUGCAGGAGAGGUAAGCGGAAUUCGUGGUGUAGCGGUGAAAUGCGUAGAUAUUAGGAAGAACCCCGAUGGCGAAGGCGGCUUACUGGACUGUAACUGACGUUGAGGCUCGAAAGCGUGGGGAGCAAACAGGAUUAGAUACCCUGGUAGUC